GUGAACGCUGGCGGCGUGCCUAAUACAUGCAAGUCGAGCGAACGGACGAGAAGCUUGCUUCUCUGAUGUUAGCGGCGGACGGGUGAGUAACACGUGGAUAACCUACCUAUAAGACUGGGAUAACUUCGGGAAACCGGAGCUAAUACCGGAUGAUAUUUUGAACCGCAUGGUUCAAAAGUGAAAGACGGUCUUGCUGUCACUUAUAGAUGGAUCCGCGCUGCAUUAGCUAGUUGGUAAGGUAAUGGCUUACCAAGGCAACGAUGCAUAGCCGACCUGAGAGGGUGAUCGGCCACACUGGAACUGAGACACGGUCCAGACUCCUACGGGAGGCAGCAGUAGGGAAUCUUCCGCAAUGGGCGAAAGCCUGACGGAGCAACGCCGCGUGAGUGAUGAAGGUCUUCGGAUCGUAAAACUCUGUUAUUAGGGAAGAACAUAUGUGUAAGUAACUGUGCACAUCUUGACGGUACCUAAUCAGAAAGCCACGGCUAACUACGUG
rnacentral:rRNA from 1 species